rnacentral:tRNA from 1 species
GCGCUGAUGGUACAAAGCGUAGCAUCGCUGCCUGGAAGGCAAAAGGUGCGGGUUCGAGUCCCACUUCGCGCA